GACGAACGCUGGCGGCGUGCCUAAUACAUGCAAGUCGAACGCUCUUUUCUUAUCGAACUUCGGUUCACCGAGAAAAGGGAGUGGCGAACGGGUGAGUAACACGUGGGUAACCUGCCCAUAAGAGGGGGAUAACAUCCGGAAACGGGUGCUAAUACCGCAUAGGUUUCUUGGUCGCAUGAUCGAGAAAGGAAAGACGGCCUUUGUGCUGUCGCUUAUGGAUGGACCCGCGGCGUAUUAGUUAGUUGGUGAGGUAAUGGCUCACCAAGACGAUGAUACGUAGCCGACCUGAGAGGGUGAUCGGCCACA
rnacentral:rRNA from 1 species